GUUUUAUGCCCUCAGUUGGUGUCAUUAGAUUGCAUAAUUUUUUUUUAAUGCAUUUGGUAUAAAUAUUAUUUUGUAUUUUGUAUUUGACAAGGUUGGACAACUUGCUGCAUAUUAUCAAGUACCCUUGCGACAUAUCCUACUGGUUCACGACGAGAUGAGUUUACCAAAUGGUGUUUUGAGGCUUAAGCCCAAGCGAGGACAUGGCCAUCAUAACGGGGUGAAAAGUGUAAUGGAACAUCUGGAUGGUUGCCAUCAAUUUCCACGACUUUGCAUAGG